rnacentral:rRNA from 1 species
UACAUAGGGGGCAAGCGUUAUCCGGAAUUAUUGGGUGUAAAGGGUGCGUAGACGGAGAAACAAGUUGGUCGUGAAAUCCCUCGGCUCAACCGAGGAACUGCAACCAAAACUAUUUCCCUUGAGUGUCGGAGAGGAAAGUGGAAUUCCUAGUGUAGCGGUGAAAUGCGUAGAUAUUAGGAGGAACACCAGUGGCGAAGGCGACUUUCUGGACGAUAACUGACGUUGAGGCACGAAAGUGUGGGGAGCAAACAGG